GAACCAGGACUUUUACUUUGAAAAAAUUAGAGUGUUCAAAGCAGGCCUACGCUCUGAAUACAUUAGCAUGGAAUAACACGAUAGGACUCUGGCCUAUCUCGUUGGUCUGUGGGACCGGAGUAAUGAUUAAGAGGGACAGUCGGGGGCAUUCGUA
rnacentral:rRNA from 1 species